GAAUAUUGCACAAUGGGCGCAAGCCUGAUGCAGCGAUGCCGCGUGCGGGAUGAAGGCCCUAGGGUUGUAAACCGCUUUCAGCAGGGAAGAAAAUGACGGUAACUCCAGAAGAAGGAGCGGCCAACUACGUGCCAGCAGCCGCGGUGACACGUAGGCACCAAGCGUUGUCCGGAUUUAUUGGGCGUAAAGAGCUCGUAGGCGGUUCAGUUAGUCGGGUGUGAAAACUCUGGGCUCAACCCAGAGACGCCACCCGAUACUGCUGUGACUAGAGUACGGUAGGGGAGUGGGGAAUUCCUGGUGUAGCGGUGAAAUGCGCAGAUAUCAGGAGGAACACCAGUGGCGAAGGCGCCACUCUGGGCCGUAACUGACGCUGAGGAGCGAAAGCAUGGGUAGCAAACAGG
rnacentral:rRNA from 1 species